UCUCACCACAGCGUGUGUUGUGUGCCUCAGAGAGCCGUGCAAAGAGACUGCACAGCGAGUGGAAGCACUCCAUUGAGAUCUUCCCGCUUUGUUCCAUCGAAAGCCUUGAUGAUGCCAGAGAAGC
rnacentral:lncRNA from 1 species